UCCUUGAUGGUCCAGUGGUUAGAACUUGGUGCUGUCACUGCCAAAGGCCCGGGUUCAAUCUCUGGUCAAGAAA
rnacentral:tRNA from 1 species